CCACACAGAGAGGGGAUGUUGACUGGGCAGCAGGGGAAGAGCCCUGUGAAGAAGUCCAGACCCUAAUAGUCCCAUCAGAGAAAGGAACAGGAAGGGACUGGACAGGGUUGGAAUGCCUGAACUGGAAAAGAUAAAGAAAGUGAGGCUUAGAGAUGACAGACAAGUGACUUGCAGGUCUCAACUCCCAGAGAUGCCCAGGCCCCAGCCUCUGUUGUGGCCGCCAGCCCUGGGGCCUCAGACUCCCCUCCUCUGACCCUCUCCCCCCAUUCCUCAGCUCUCCUGAACUCUGUGCCCUAAGCCUUUUCCUCUGCCUCCCACACCUGGAUUCCUCCACCCCUUGACAGCUGAUAAUUACAGUCCCCAGGCCUCCUUUCCCAGGGCACAAGGCCAUUUCAGGCAGGCCUCAUCUGAUACCUGUCCUUGAAAGAUUUCUCUCUAUAGUACCUUGCUCUUGAACCCAAGAAAUGCAAAAGAGCUUCGGUGUUCCGCUUCAGCUGAAUACAGGCUUUAAUGCCUAUAAACAUUCAGGUUCCUCCAGGACUGCUGGAGAAGGCAAUCUGCUGACUCAGCCUCCCACAGGGAAGUUUGGCCCCAGAUGCAGCCAAGAGAGAGCAGAGCCUGAAGCCAGCAGAGGACAAGGUAACUUCAACUGGCCAGCAAGCUUGAAGCCUGUGAGUGUGGCUCCACCAACAAGUUUUUCUCAGAGCUCACAGGGCUGGGAGAUUAAACUCUAGCUCUGGUGGAACGUCUUCCCUGAAAAUUCAGGUCACCACGUCAUCUGAAAAGAGAACAGGAACUUUAUUAUGUUUUAGCAGAAAGAA